UACGUAGGGUGCGAGCGUUAAUCGGAAUUACUGGGCGUAAAGCGUGCGCAGGCGGCUUCGCAAGUCAGACGUGAAAUCCCCGGGCUUAACCUGGGAAUGGCGUUUGAAACUACGGAGCUGGAGUAUGGCAGAGGGGGGUGGAAUUCCACGUGUAGCGGUGAAAUGCGUAGAUAUGCGGAGGAACACCGAUGGCGAAGGCAAUCCCCUGGACCUGUACUGACGCUCAUGCACGAAAGCGUGGGGAGCAAACAGG
rnacentral:rRNA from 1 species